rnacentral:RNase_P_RNA from 1 species
GGAGAGGAAAACGCAAUCGCAUUUGGCUUUUAUCAAAUGAGGAAAGUCUGGACUUCGUAGGGGAGGAUACCAGUGAAACGCUGGGGGCCGUAAGGCUACGGAAAGUGCAACAGAAAACACGCCGUCCGCAUUUGCGGAGCAGGAUGAAAAUCUUGACCUAGUGGGUCAAGCGCAUGCAGCGCAAGCUGUGUGGAGAUGUAAACCCUAUCCGAAGCAAGAGAGAGGUGUUGGUUCCCCCACUAUAGCGCCUCGCAGAUUCGCUUGAGCAGAGCGGUGACGCUUUGCCUAGAGGAAUGAUUGCGCACGACAGAAUCCAGCUUAUUUUCCUCUCCCCCC